ACGAGGUCGAUCCAGUAGCAAUACUGGUGAAAACCUAGUGGCGAACGGGUGAGUAACACGUGAGCAACCUGCCCCGAAGACUGGGAUAACAGUGGGAAACCGCUGCUAAUACCGGAUGCCCCCAUUGGACCACAUGGCCCGAUGAGGAAAUGGAUUCCGCUUCGGGAGGGGCUCGCGGCCUAUCAGCUUGUUGGUGGGGUAACGGCCUACCAAGGCGACGACGGGUAGCUGGUCUGAGAGGACGAUCAGCCACACUGGGACUGAGACACGGCCCAGACUCCUACGGGAGGCAGCAGUGGGGAAUAUUGCGCAAUGGGCGAAAGCCUGACGCAGCAACGCCGCGUGAGGGAUGACGGCCUUCGGGUUGUAAACCUCUUUCAAGCAGGGACGAUAAUGACGGUACCUGCAGAAGAAGCUCCGGCCAACUACGUGCCAGCAGCCGCGGUAAUACGUAGGGAGCGAGCGUUGUCCGGAUUCAUUGGGCGUAAAGAGCUCGUAGGCGGCUUGAUAAGUCGGAUGUGAAACCUCCAGGCUCAACCUGGAGUCGCCAUCCGAUACUGUCAUAGCUAGAGUCCGGUAGGGGCCCACGGAACUCCUGGUGUAGCGGUGAAAUGCGCAGAUAUCAGGAAGAACACCAGUGGCGAAGGCGGUGGGCUGGGCC
rnacentral:rRNA from 1 species